GGGUGUGAGAGUGAUCUGGCUGUGGCAUCUGAUGCCCCCUCUGUGGUGAGGGCUCAUCUGGGGGCUAGGCAGGUGACUCCUUCCUCCUCCACCCCCGACGCCCCACUUGCGGAGACAAGCUGUGCGCUGUGUGGCAGCGGAGGACCUGCCUCGACAGAGGGGGGCUGCUCGGGGUCAAGGGUGCAGAAGUGGUGGGUGCUCUGCUGAAGCCUCUCAAGGAGCUCUCCAGAAACCAGAGAGAGAUCCGUGGCCCUGCGCUGGGCUCCCCCAACGGGAUCGUUUUUUGCCAAACCGC
rnacentral:snRNA from 1 species